GGUUAAGUUAGAAAGGGCGCACGGUGGAUGCCUUGGCACUAGGAGCCGAAGAAGGACGGGACUAACACCGAUAUGCUUUGGGGAGCUGUACGUAAGCGUUGAUCCAGAGAUUUCCGAAUGGGGGAACCCACUAUCUUUAGUCGGAUAGUAUCCUUACGUGAAUACAUAGCGUGAGGAAGGCAGACCCAGGGAACUGAAACAUCUAAGUACCUGGAGGAAGAGAAAGAAAAAUCGAUUUCCUGAGUAGCGGCGAGCGAAACGGAAAGAGCCCAAACCAAGAAGCUUGCUUCUUGGGGUUGUAGGACACUCUAUACGGAGUUACAAAAGAAAGUUAUAAAUGAAGCGGUCUGGAAAGGCCCGCCAAAGACGGUAACAGCCCGGUAGUUGAAAUAGCUUUCCCUCCAGAGUGGAUCCUGAGUACGGCGGAACACGUGAAAUUCCGUCGGAAUCCGGGAGGACCAUCUCCCAAGGCUAAAUACUCCCUAGUGACCGAUAGUGAACCAGUACCGUGAGGGAAAGGUGAAAAGCACCCCGGAAGGGGAGUGAAACAGUUCCUGAAACCGUGUGCCUACAAGUAGUUAGAGCCCGUUAAUGGGUGAUAGCGUGCCUUUUGUAGAAUGAACCGGCGAGUUACGAUUUGUUGCAAGGUUAAGCGGAAAAAGCGGAGCCGUAGCGAAAGCGAGUCUGAAUAGGGCGCAUAAGUAACAGGUCGUAGACCCGAAACCAGGUGAUCUACCCAUGUCCAGGAUGAAGGUAAGGUAAUACUUACUGGAGGUCCGAACCCACGCACGUUGAAAAGUGCGGGGAUGAGGUGUGGGUAGCGGAGAAAUUCCAAUCGAACUUGGAGAUAGCUGGUUCUCUCCGAAAUAGCUUUAGGGCUAGCCUCGAGGUAAAGAGUCAUGGAGGUAGAGCACUGUUUGGACUAGGGGCCCUUCUCGGGUUACCGAAUUCAGAUAAACUCCGAAUGCCAUGUACUUAUACUCGGGAGUCAGACUGCGAGUGAUAAGAUCCGUAGUCGAAAGGGAAACAGCCCAGACCACCAGUUAAGGUCCCCAAAUAUAUGUUAAGUGGAAAAGGAUGUGGGGUUGCUUAGACAACCAGGAUGUUGGCUUAGAAGCAGCCACCAUUGAAAGAGUGCGUAAUAGCUCACUGGUCGAGUGACCCCGCGCCGAAAAUGUACCGGGGCUAAACAUAUUACCGAAACUGUGGAUGAACCUCUUUAGAGGUUCGUGGUAGGAGAGCGUUCUAAGGGCGGUGAAGUCAGACCGGAAGGACUGGUGGAGCGCUUAGAAGUGAGA
rnacentral:rRNA from 1 species